AAUCCAUAGGUUAAUGAGGCGAACCGGGGGAACUGAAACAUCUAAGUACCCCGAGGAAAAGAAAUCAACCGAGAUUCCCCCAGUAGCGGCGAGCGAACGGGGAGGAGCCCAGAGCCUGAAUCAGCAUGUGUGUUAGUGGAAGCGUCUGGAAAGGCGCGCGAUACAGGGUGACAGCCCCGUACACAAAAGCGCAUGUGCUGUGAGCUCGAUGAGUAGGGCGGGACACGUGGUAUCCUGUCUGAAUAUGGGGGGACCAUCCUCCAAGGCUAAAUACUCCUGACUGACCGAUAGUGAACCAGUACCGUGAGGGAAAGGCGAAAAGAACCCCGGCGAGGGGAGUGAAAAAGAACCUGAAACCGUGUACGUACAAGCAGUGGGAGCACAGGUUUACCUGUGUGACUGCGUACCUUUUGUAUAAUGGGUCAGCGACUUAUAUUCUGUAGCAAGGUUAACCGUAUAGGGGAGCCGUAGGG
rnacentral:rRNA from 1 species